rnacentral:rRNA from 1 species
CAGUAGCCGCGGGAAUACGGAGGGUGCAAGCGUUAAUCGGAAUUACUGGGCGUAAAGCGCACGCAGGCGGUCUGACAAGUCAGAUGUGAAAUCCCCGGGCUUAACCUGGGAACUGCAUUUGAAACUGUCAGGCUGGAGUCUUGUAGAGGGGGGUAGAAUUCCAGGUGUAGCGGUGAAAUGCGUAGAGAUCUGGAGGAAUACCGGUGGCGAAGGCGGCCCCCUGGACAAAGACUGACGCUCAGGUGCGAAAGCGUGGGGAGCAAACAGGAUUAGAUACCCGCGUAGUCCCUGUCUCUUAUAA